AUGAUUAACAGAAAUUCCUCACAGCUUUACAGGUUUCGGUUCCUAUUCCCCCAAGCACUGGCCUCAUUACCAUCUCUCCUCUCCAGGGAACAGCAGUCAGAGAGCCUAGUCCCCAGGGAAGAGCAGCAGCCUUGCAGUUUAUAUGGCGAGACUGGUACUCAGGACCCAAAAUACUGGGAAAUAACCUAAGACAAACACGAUGCUGUGUGAGACCCCGCAGAUGACAUUUACUAAACCAUCAGAAUGUGGAGAAUCACUCUGAUACCCUGCAGUACCAGUACUAAGAAUCUAGAGGAAAAUAACACUCAUGCUCGGAGUAAUGGAAUUAAGAGCAUCAAGACAUCAUCCAGCGGAUGGACAACUUGAAAUGCUCUGGGGGCUCGUUUGUCUCUUCAAUGCUUUUACUGGGACCCCCAAAAGGAGAAGAAUAAAUUAUGUGAGCA
rnacentral:lncRNA from 12 species